UUUUUUUACCUUUGCAAAACACAUCAUCAAUAAAAAGUAUUCUCUAGUAAUCGUAUUUAUUUUUUAUUUAUUUUACAGGUUAUUCAUCCAGCAGACGUUCGACUCCAAUUCCAGGUACGCAGUGCCAACAAAAAAGGUUGUGCUGAAAGCUGAAGUAUGGACUGGUUUCAAGGACAAUGACAACCACACAAGAUCCCAUUCACCGCCACCAAAGAAUAAAAUCCAGAUGUGGAUACAAUUUUGCUAGAUUUUAUGCGCAAGGUAAUAAAAACCUGGACUAUUGAGCAAACGGUACAGGAGGAGAAUUGCGAGGAAGAAAGUACAAGUGUCGCAGCCCCAUUUGUUCAUGCAUUUCUUUCUAAUGUAAAUUGUGUACACUGUUAUACUUGUAAAUAAAGUUUUCUGUCAAAAGUA